ACUAAAUAUAAUUUUCCUCAGCAAAAUAGAAUAAGGGGACUGUUGAUACUUAGUUGAUUCUAAACAUCUAUUCUGGUAAUUUUGUAAAAGAUUUCCAAUCUUUGAAUAUAAAAAAGAAAGGUCGAAGCAAGACUUUUUGAUUCCCUUCUACUGCUAAUGUAAUGUAUACUCAUUGGGUCUUAAAUUACAUCGGAUAGCCCGGGGGAGAAUUCUACUACUAGUUAGGUAAAGUCCUUUCUAUACUGUAAUCUACAUAUAUAGACUCGCGAGAAUCUCUGAGUGUUCAGGCAUUCAAUCACUAUUAGAUUGAGAUUGGAUAGAUUUUUUAUAGAAAAAGUAAAAAAAAGAAAGGGCUCUCUUAUUUUAUUACUGGACGUUCCAUUCCAUUAGUAACAUUCCUUUGUAGKGUCAUKGUGWWUUUWACUUGUGUUUAGUCUUUCCACAUUAGAAAUCAUAUAGGAAUUUUUGAAAUGGCUUUAUUUUAUUGGUUCAUCAAUAGUGUUUGGUCAGAAUCCCUUUUUGACUCUGGACCAUUCAUUSUASUAUUAUUAGUGAGCAAUAAUGGAA
rnacentral:misc_RNA from 1 species